CAGAUAGCAAAUCAAAGCUGGAAAGUACAAGUAAGCUUAGAAAGACAGAACUCUGAAAACUUAGGAUUCCAAGCAGGCAUCCCUAAAGUACAGUCAUCUCCGGCUAAGAGAACACGCCUCGGGAAGCAAGUAAAGUGUUCCCUUUGACCACACAAUAUGAAUCAAUAAAUAAAUAAAUAAAAAUGAGUUUCUUCUCACUCCAAUCAGUUCUGAUUAUGAACGUGUGCCUGCUGCUGUUAGGGAUCUGCUAUACUGUACUGUGGAAAAAAAAUAAAGAUUCACAGUACAGUGUCCGGGCAGCUUUAUCACUAAAAGCAGUUAACGGGAGACACUUUAUCAGCUAAUCGGAGACAUGAAAAACACACAUACCUGUAAGCCAGUUAUCUGGUUUCCAAAGAUAGCAGCUUAGGCUCUUCAAGGAAGCUGUUAAUGUGAUUCAGAGAGAAGAGGCUGCCCGAGUCUGCUUGAAGCCAUUAUGGCUUUAUCAGGACUCGGCCACAAGACACAUUUUCCUAUUGAAAUCCAGAUAAAGGAAACUGAAGUUUAAGAUGCAGGGUCUUGUAGCCAGGAUGUUGUGUUAUAGAAGACUGGCUCUACCUCCUCUACGCUCCCCUGCCUCCCCGCUCCUUCUCCACCCUCGCCCUGCAGUGGUGGAAUGACCUUCCUACAGAUGUCAGGACUGCCCAGUCCCUGACCACAUUCUGGUGCCUCCUCAAGACUCACCUCUUCAGAAAGCACCUGUAGAACUCCUCUGUUUUUCCCCUGGGACACAUAUCACCCUUCCUUAAAUGCGCUUUACUUGCUCUUAUCUGCCCCCUAUUUUACUGCGUUUAAUCCUGUACUUCAGAGUACUAUAAUCUGCCAAGUGUUUAAUCUGUAGUAUUUUGUAUUUAAUUAUAUCCUGAUGUAACUAUCACUGACACUGUUAUCUGCUGUAUUAUCGAAUUGUAUUUUGUCACACUUGUACUUGCUUGAACCAAAGUCAUUGUAUUCAUCAUUGUAUUUAUCUUGCUCUUAAUUGCAUUAUUACUUGCACUGUGAUUCUUGAAAUGUAUUUGUUUACUGGAUAAGGGCAUCUGCUAAAAAAUAAAUAAUAAUAAUAAUAAUAAUAAUAAUAAUAAUAAUAAUAAUAAUAAUAAUAAUAAUAAUAAUAAUAAUAAUAAUAAUAAUGGUGCCUGCAGCUCAGACACUUUGCAUUCCCAUCUCAUCAAAUCUUAAAAGCUAAACAAAGUUGGGCCUGCUCAGUACUUGGAUGGGAGACUUCAUAGAAGUGGAUCUCAGUAAAAUAAUAUUGAAAGAAUCAUUGAUUAUUGCAUUGUGACAGUUUAACUGUACUGUUCUUGUUUCACACUUUAGGUGACAAAGGGUCAACUGUAGAUAAUGCAAAAUACUGUAUAAAAAUCUAUAGUCAAAUAAAAUAAAAAUAAAAAUAUUAUUAUUUCCUCAUAUCAUUCCGAAAUUAACAAUAUUCAGUCAAUAACUGAAAUUAGUAAGUACAUUAAGAAAGAAAUGCACAAGAAAGUACAAUACAUUUUCUAACAGAUAAGCCACAAAUAACUGCAAGAGAGAAGUUUAAUAGCAGGUAAUGCUAAAUGAUAAAAAUCUAAAGAGCAUAUCUCAGGAAAGGGGGAUUCUAAUAAAGCGUAUUGUGAAUGACUGAUUGACCAGAAUCUGAUUGCUGUUGGGACAAAGUGAAAAGCUUAUUGAGAAGAUCUCAAUCUUUUCUAAUUUACAGUUAAGUACUCUUUCACUGAACAAUGUAGUCACUUAUUAUAGGUGUUAGAAUCUGGUCAAUCUUAAGUUUUAUUGGUCAACAUUUACCAAAUAAGGUGGAAAAUGUCCGGAAUUAUGAAGAAAUUGGUUGCUUUCUGACAUUUACCCAAGCUUAUUGGUAAAUGCAGGUAUAUACUGUAUAUUAUCGAAGAAUGUAUUUAUUCCUGCAUGUAAAUGGUCAAUUAACAAAAUAAUCAUUAAUGUCGAACAAUAUAUGUAUUUCUGCAUACACAUUUUCCAUUAAUAAAAAAAACAUUA